UUAAACGGCCGCGGUAUCCCAACCGUGCAAAGGUAGCGCAAUCACUUGUCUCCUAAAUAGAGACUAGUAUGAACGGUUUAAUGAGGACUAAUCUGUCUCCUGUAGAAAAUCCGUUAAACUGAACUCCCAGUCCAAAUGCUGGGAUAACCAUAUAAGACGAGAAGACCCUGUGGAGCUUUAAAACAAACUACAACCUACUCCUUGUAGAAAAGUUUUUAGUUGGGGCGACUCUGGAGAUAAAAACAACCCCCAGGCACAGAAGCACUAAACCUUAUUCUUGACCCGGCCAACAGGCCAACACAAAAUUGACCCGGUAUAACCGAUAAACGAACCAAGUUACCCCAGGGAUAACAGCGCUAUCUUCUUUCAGAGUCCAUAUCAACAAGAAGGUUUACGACCUCGAUGUUGGAUCAGGACACCCAAAUGGUGCAGCCGCUAUUAAAGGUUCGUUUGUUCAACGAUUAAUAGUCCUACGUGAUCUGAGUUCAGACCGG
rnacentral:rRNA from 1 species